GCAAGCUCAGUCCCAUUGGGAAUGACGUCUGUGGACGCUUAGUGCAGCCUUGGUCUGAGUCCACAGUCAGUGUCACCCAUGGAGCGUGUGAAAGCAGUGUGACCUGAAACAUGACAAAGCAGAGAGAAGUUACUCUGUUGGGAAAAGAAGAUGCUUCCACAUAGAACGACACAUCAACAAAGCUCAUGAAAUACUGUCUUAUUCUUUGGAGGACACCAACAUCCUUCUCCUGUACAGAAGCCUCCCGAGGACCUUGCUGUAGGCAUGAAUGGUCUGCUGCUGAUCCCUCAGGUUGAGUAAGUUUAUCCACAGGAGUAGCUGUCAUGAUCAAGGAGUGAUAUGUAACCUGACCAUUACAAAGACAUAGUGUGCUAUGAA